UAUUGGACAAUGGGGGGAACCCUGAUCCAGCGACGCCGCGUGAGUGAAUAAGUAUCUCGGUAUGUAACGCGCUAUCAGCAGGGAAGAANGAAAUGACGGUAGCUGAGCAAGAAGCCCCGGCUAACUACGUGCCAGCAGCCGCGGUAAUACGUAGGUGGCAAGCGUUCUCCGGAAUUACUGGGUGUAAAGGGAGCGUAGACGGUGAUGUAAGUCUGGAGUGAAAGGCGGGGGCCCAACCCCCGGACUGCUCUGGAAACUAUGUGACUGGAGUGCAGGAGAGGUGAGCGGAAUUCCUAGUGUAGCGGUGAAAUGCGUAGAUAUUAGGAGGAACACCAGUGGCGAAGGCGGCUCACUGGACUGUAACUGACGUUGAGGCUCGAAAGCGUGGGGAGCAAACAG
rnacentral:rRNA from 1 species